GAGUUUGAUCAUGGCUCAGAAUCAACGCUGGCGGCGUGCCUAACACAUGCAAGUCGCGCGCGAAAGGGGGGCAACCCCCAAGUAGAGCGGCGAACGGGUGAGUAACGCGUGGGUGAUCUUCCUUCAAGUGGGGAAUAACACCGGGAAACUGGUGCUAAUACCGCAUGACAUCCCUGGUUCAUUCCAGGGAUCAAAGUCGGGGACCGCAAGGCCUGGCGCUUGAAGAUGAGCCCGCGUCCGAUUAGCUAGUUGGCGGGGUAACGGCCCACCAAGGCUUCGAUCGGUAGCCGGCCUGAGAGGGCGGACGGCCACACUGGGACUGAGACACGGCCCAGACUCCUACGGGAGGCAGCAGUGGGGAAUUUUUCGCAAUGGGGGAAACCCUGACGAAGCAACGCCGCGUGGAGGAUGAAGGCCUUCGGGUCGUAAACUCCUGUCGACUGGGAAGAAUGCACCUGACCUAAUACGUCGGCGUGUUGACUGUACCGGUGGAGGAAGCCACGGCUAACUCUGUGCCAGCAGCCGCGGUAAUACAGAGGUGGCAAGCGUUGUUCGGAAUUACUGGGCGUAAAGGGCGCGUAGGCGGCCCGUUAAGUCCCGUGUGAAAGCCCCCGGCUCAACCGGGGAACGGCGCGGGAAACUGGCAGGCUUGAGUUCGGGAGAGGGAAGCGGAAUUUCGGGUGUAGCGGUGAAAUG
rnacentral:rRNA from 1 species